AGCGAACGCUGGCGGCAGGCCUAACACAUGCAAGUCGAACGAACUCUUCGGAGUUAGUGGCGGACGGGUGAGUAACACGUGGGAACGUGCCUUUUGGUUCGGAAUAACUCAGGGAAACUUGUGCUAAUACCGAAUGUGCCCUUCAGGGGAAAGAUUUAUCGCCAUUAGAGCGGCCCGCGUCUGAUUAGCUAGUUGGUGAGGUAACGGCUCACCAAGGCGACGAUCAGUAGCUGGUCUGAGAGGAUGACCAGCCACACUGGGACUGAGACACGGCCCAGACUCCUACGGGAGGCAGCAGUGGGGAAUCUUGCGCAAUGGGCGAAAGCCUGACGCAGCCAUGCCGCGUGAAUGAUGAAGGUCUUAGGAUUGUAAAAUUCUUUCACCGGGGACGAUAAUGACGGUACCCGGAGAAGAAGCCCCGGCUAACUUCGU
rnacentral:rRNA from 1 species